GGGAAUCUUCUGCACUUAGCAAGAUCGUGACCCUCCCACACAGUACAGUAACUUAUAUACAUACCUGGAGGAAGGGAUGCUUUGCUUUGGGCUUCCUAAAAAUAUUUGGUGAUGGCUGAACCCUCCAACAUGCUCAUAGGACCGGACUCUGAUGCACCCACAAAGGCUGGCCUAGACGAGCAUCUGCUAAAGGCUACUCGAAGGUUCAGGAUUCUAGUCAAUGGAACAAGAGGAAGACUCGAGUGCCUGUAAGACCAGGUCCCUUUGAUGAGGCUGCAGCUAACCCAGAGAAGGAGGGUCGUCUUCUCCUGAGUUGUUGUAUCCUUCACGGUUUUUCUACUUGCAGAUCUUCUCAAAGACUCCCCAAGCCUGGCACUGAAGGGAAUUACAUUUACAGACCACUCCACUGUAUAUUUUUCAUCAGCUCAUCUGAGCAGACCAGACUACCUGCAAAUUACAUAUGAGAUUUCAAUAG